rnacentral:misc_RNA from 1 species
AAUCCUCAAAAAGCCCUUUCUUGAUCUUUUAAAGAAAAGGAUUUUUGGACUUGGAGGACCAAUGCUCGCUUUCAAUUAUUUGAAAGGGAGCUCCUCUUAAAUAAAUCAGUGGGGUUUGCUUUGCUGAUCCUUGACGUGAUAAAGUGAUUCUACGUUUUGGAUAUAGCAUCGUGCUUUUAAACGCCUGCUUCUAAUUGUCCUUAUGGACGAUGAUGGUGUUCUGGUCACCACCACACCUGUGUCGGUGGGAGGCUAGACCCACAAGAGAAAA